rnacentral:lncRNA from 13 species
ACUUUUUUUUAACCUAACAUGUUGAGAUUUACCUAUGUUGAUACUUAUAGCUUUACUUCACUUCCUUUAGCUGUUAUUAUAUAUAUCCAAUUAUAUAAAUCAUUAGAGGGAUUGCAGUAAUUAUUCAGCUUUCCCUUCUACUUUGUACAUUUUUAAAUCUAAAAUGCUCCCAGAUUACUUAGCAGCAUUGCCAUAGAGGUUAUUCAGUUAUCGACAAAUACAUCAAAUGCAUCUGUCCAAGUAAUAUUGAUAUAGUGCCUUCCAGCUUGUCAAACCUCAUGUAUCUGUGCAGAGACAGAUACAACAUGGGUGUAGUAUGAAGUGAAGACAGACACAGAAACGAGCAAUGAGUCUGCAACCACAGCUGUGUGAUGUUUGGAGAUGUAUGUUGUGCUUUAGUAUCAGGGAGGAGGGACUGAGGCAAUGAAAAUGGAAAAAUGCAAUUAGGGAAGCCUGCACACAGGAAAUGGUGACACUUUAACUACUUUUGAAAGAAUGAGUUUCCAGGGAGUCAGGUGGAGAAGACUAUCUUUAUAAAGGGAUGAAUUUGUGUAAAGAAGGGAAAGGGUGUUUGAAAGGGAAUAGUAUGAUCAGCAAACUGUAAGUAGAUUGGUCAGCACAGUAAACUGAGGGAGAAAAUCUCCUGGCUAUCAUAACUUUUCUUCCCUCAGAAUUGAAUGAAUAAAUGGUACUCACUCCUCAUAUAUAGCACUUGUGGUGGCUUUUUGUAACCACUGAAAAAUAUGAGUGUAUGUGUCCAUUCUCAUUGAAAUGGUUUAAUAAAACUCUCUUCUGCAUUCCCUUCUUCAGGGGUUCAAAGAGUUGUCUCUGGGGUCCAGCAGACCUGUACCUAAAAUCCUGCAUUGCCACACUUGCAGGAUGA